CAUUAUUGAAUACGCUUGGGACUGAUGCUGGCUCUUNNNNNNNNAUGUGCUCGUCUCAUUCUUAUUUAUCUUCUCUUGUGCACAUCUUGUAGUCUUGAAUGAACUCUUUCGCAGUCAAAUGCGGUUUUGGGAGGCUGAGCUUUUUAACGGGCUCUUCUCCUGCUCGUUCAAGGCUAUGUUUUUAUAUACACUAUAAAGUUAUAGAAUGUCUUUUAACGAUUGUGCUAGUCGCAGUCAUUAAACCUUAUACAACUUUCAGCAACGGAUCUCUUGGCUCUCCUAUCGAUGAAGAACGCAGCGAAAUGCGAUAAGUAAUGUGAAUUGCAGAAUUCAGUGAAUCAUCGAAUCUUUGAACGCACCUUGCGCCCUUUGGUAUUCCGAAGGGCAUGCCUGUUUGAGUGUCAUUAAAUUAUCAACCUUUGCUCUUUGCGAGUGAAGGCUUGGAUGUGAGGGUUUUGCUGGCUUCCUUCAGUGGAUGGUCUGCUCCCUUUAAAUGCAUUAGUGGGAUCCUUUGUGGACCGUCACUAGGUGUGAUAAUUAUCUAUGCCUUUUGACUUUGAAGCAAACUUAUGGGAAUCCGCUCAUAACCGUCUUCGGACAAC
rnacentral:rRNA from 1 species